UUCCGUAAUCAAAUUGGAGCUUCAAAAUUCAAAUCGUGUCCUCCUCCUCAUCAUCAUCAUGGCAUCUAGAUAUGAAUCUCGAAGUAAACUCACAAUUUCAACAUCACCAACAAGUGAAAGGGGUAGUGUUCAAACAUCUUUGCAAAAAGCUCAGUGUUUGUGUUCUCCAACGACACAUGAAGGUUCUUUCCGUUGUCGUUUACAUCGUAGCUCAUCAACCACUACUCCACGCUCAAAUUCUUCGAUAGCUGAUAGUAACGAUAAUAAGGCUGUCGUUUCAUAGAAUACGACAUAGAAGCUGUUGUUAUUUUUCAAUGCUUCAAGUAGACUUUAUUUCUCUAUCCUUGUGUCUUUUUCCUUAGUUGAUGCAUUAAUUGGUUUAACUUUUAGUGUUAAAUCCUUAUGGGAAUGCUCUUGCAUUGCUUAAACAAUUGGAGGUGAUGGUCUUUAUUUAUAUCAUAUGAAUUAAGUAUUUUAAUGUCAAAAAAAGAAAGAAAGAAAGAAAGAAAAGACAAACAUUAAUUUGUAACUAUAAGGAACUGAAACAAAUUGUCUCAUAAAUAUAGUUCAAAUUGCUAAAAGGAGGAGAUGACUAAUUUAUGGUAGGGGUUGAAAGGAAUGGGUGGAGGUGGGGGUAGACACUUCCUUUCUUGAGAAGAGGAUUUGGUAAGGGACUCUUGUGUUUUUGUGGCUAAUAUGUCUUUGCCAAGUAGAUGUGGGGAUUUGAGCAUGGGACGGUGUACAAUGUCAAAAAUACAUACAAACUACUUACAUAUGAUGACGAGGUUUAGACAUCAUCGAUAUAUGAUUUCAUUUGGAAUAAUAAGAUACCAAUAAAAGUUUUCUUAUCUUCUUGGAGAUUGUUCAAUGAUAGGGUGCCCAUAUAGGUUAAUUUAGCAAAACGUGUCAUUUUGUUCAACAACUCUACUUUUAGUUUUGUGGGUUGUGGCAAGUAAGAAACUUCACACCAUAUCUUAUUUUUUUUUUAAGUUUUAGUCAAGUUUGGCACACAAUUCUAGAGUGAUUAGGAAUUUUUAGUGCUUUCUCGUAGAGUGUAAUCAAUCGCAUUCAAUAAUUUUGUGGUUUACAUCUUUUGAAAAAAAAUUCACACUUGAAACUUCUUGUAAUUUGGAUGAUAUACAUUUGGAUAGUUCGGAAGGAAAAUAAUAGUUGGAUUUUUUGUCGUAAUAAGAAUUUAUUGAAUUAUCUAA